rnacentral:rRNA from 1 species
UACAGAGGAUGCAAGCGUUAUCCGGAAUGAUUGGGCGUAAAGCGUCUGUAGGUGGCUUUUUAAGUCCGCCGUCAAAUCCCAAGGCUCAACUCUGGACAGGCGGUGGAAACUACCAAGCUGGAGUACGGUAGGGGCAGAGGGAAUUUCCGGUGGAGCGGUGAAAUGCGUAGAGAUCGGAAAGAACACCAACGGCUAAAGCACUCUGUUGGGCCGACACUGACACUGAAAGACGAAAGCUAGGGGAGCGAAUGGG